CAUUGCUGGAUGACACUUACUUACUAGAAGUGAUCAAAUCUGAGUCCACAGCCACAUCAAAGAUGUCCUCAUCCUCAGCCAUAAGUCAUGUUUCCUCUACAGACUCCCCAGUUCGUCAUAUCUGUGAUGUAUCUAACUGGUAUACCAUGCUGCCAGAGGCUCAAUGCUGCGCACAGUGUACAAAAGCAGGCAGGAGAGGUGAAGGUGGCAAGGUGGGGUGUUGGUUGGAUGGGGUCGUGCUAUCCUAUGUCAACUCAGUGAGGCUCAUCAAGUCAUGUUCCCUCCUAUUCUCACAUAUAGGCAAGUAUGCUGAAAAUUGGUGUCUGUCUGCCUUAAAUUAGCAGCACUAAUCUCUGUUGCCAUACUGAUUAUGACACUUUACAGGCAUGGUGUGGACAAGAAUGUGGUACAACUUAUGCAAGACCAGACCAAAGGGAACACCAUGGUGAAAGUGUGGCUACAGAUUCAGGUGAACCACUGUUAAGGAGUAUCUCUACACCACACUCCCGACGAGUCUUAUGACACCUGGGAGGGACACACAUUUGAGGUUCCAGAUCUGCAAUGUAUCCAACUGCUAUAGCUGUAUAUCCACCUUUCCAUUAUCUCUAACAUUCGCAUACGAUUGUCACUUUAUAUAUCCGCACAAUACAACUGACCCCCAAUGCUUCUGAAAAAAAAAUAUUGGUUUUCUAGAGCUAAACUGGAAGAGUAAAGGCACAGCUGAGUGAAUUACCAGCAUAGGCAAAGAGUAUUCCCUGAUAGUCUCGUUUGUGCUUUCUUGUGAAGAGUCCACCCAGUGUCUGAAGCCCAUGUGUCAGGAAGCCAAACAGCCUGUGCAUAAGGUACUGUAUGUUGACCAGGGGUGAUGUGCACAAGGCCCUGCUGCCGUGGAGAUCUUGGUCCAGACACGCGUGGACUAUGGUGUGGUGGUGCAUUUGGACAUAUUCCACUGGAUCCAUCGAUUUAAUGCAGCCAUUCACACAAACAGCCACUCCAAGUAUGCUGUGUUCAAGUCUGCCUUAGAAGGAACAGUGCUAUCCUACAAACUUGGAGAUGCUCAUCAAGGCUGUCAGAGCAAAAGACCAAACAAAUUUUAACACACUGACUGGUGGGUCAUUCAGUGUCAAGUCAACCAAAUUUCACAAACUUCCUUGGCUCAAAUUUUUUAAUUUGUCAGUAUGUAUAUUUACGGAGUAAUCAACUACUUUGUAGAGGGAUGUCAAAAUGACAAUUUUCGCCUGUUAUUCAGAGCCAAAUUACAAAGGGAUAAAAAUGACUUCAGAAAGAUGGCAGCAUCAUGUCAUUUUUACACAGAGAUUGGUAGGUCUAUUAGCAAAAUCAUUUGACUUCAGCAAUCUUUAUUGCAUUAUGUGCCAAUAAUGACCAUUAUUGGGGGGGGGGCUCUACAAGUUUGAAUGCCUGUAACUCAAGAAGUAUAAAGUUAUCUCAGUGCCCUUUUAGAUAUCGGGUCUUAACUUUCUUCUUUUUAAGGCACUAUAUGGUUCAGUUCCAGAGGUAUUGGAAUUACAGUAUGGCCCCAGGAGUUAACUGUUAAAUUGCACAAAUUUUCAGUGGUCAAAAACCAAAUGUGGGUCAUUUGGCUGGUACUUAUUAAAAAAAAAAAAAAAGGAAUAUCUGAAGAACAAAUAAUGUUGAAACUAUAAAUGUAUCUUGUUUACUUCUGUCAGAACUAUUGCAUAUAAUAUACCUGUCUGAAUGCCAUAAAUAUUCUUUCUGUAAGUCCAUAAUUUCUACAUCACAAUUACCUGUUACAUCCCCCCGGUUCCUGGUGGGGCAGCAUAAAUGGGGAGGCCACACAAAAGUAUGCUUAAUGAAAAAUGUUUUUACUAAUAAUACAUUUAUAAUUUUUAAGGCUCCUGCAUCAGAUUCUGUUGUGACUGAUGCUGAUGAGACGGCUGCAUGUGUAGCUGGUGCUGAUGUGACUGGUGCAGCACUUUAGCCAUAUCUGGGCAGUGGGCACUGCAACAUCAGCAGCAGACACUGCACAUCCUGAGGUAACUGUUUUAGUCUAAAUACUCAGUGGUUGUUAGAUAAGGAAACUGUUUAGGUCCAAGUAGUCAGUGGUUGUUACAUAAGGUUUUGUCUUUGUUAUACUACCAGGUGACAUUUGAGGGCUGGCACAAAAUGUGGGAGUCUGGUCCUAAUGGGCUCCCCAAAGCAGACAUCAUGUGGUUAAAGGAGGAUGAAAAAGGUUAACUCUUUCAGAGGGCAAUGUCUUAUCAAGACAAGCAUGGCAACACGGGGUGGAGGAAAGUCCUGAAGGAUGACAAGAUGUGGUUUCAUCCUCCUGAAUUUCCUGGAGUGGUGGAAGGGCCAUUUCCAUGGAGAUCGGCGCCUGUGCUCCAUGCUGACUAAGGUCCUGCAGGUAAUUCAUGCAGAAAGGCUGCCAAGGAAUCAGAGGAAUGCGCCACUGGUCACCACGAAUGCGACCAGCUCACAGAGCAGCCAGUACAAAAAGCCUGGGAAGAGCACAAGUAAGUAAGAGUUAAUUGUUUUUCUCAGGCAAAGACUAGCAUACUAGCAAGGAAGUCGUGGCCUAAUGGUUAGAGAGUCGGACUCGUAAUCCAAAGGUUGCGAGUUCAAGUCAGGUAUUGUUUGUCAAUACUGUGGGGAAUUUUUUGUAUUCAUUAUCAGAUCUGCAAGCAACUUUCUGGAGAUGGAAAAGGCACUGCAGAAUGGUGAACCAAUGUGGCAAAUGAGCUGGGACAUAUCCUCAUCAGUCCUAACCUGUGAGGAAUCACUGGACAAAAUGUGGGCGAUGGAUAAAGGCCUCAAGUAGAGGUAUAGAAGAGCUGGUGAGGCACCUCCUGAACUCAUGUAUGUGGACUGUGGCUGCUAUCAUGUCCAUGGCGUGUCUUCUGGAACAGCUCUGCUGUGAACGGACAGACAGGAUUAUGCUGGUAGAGCUCGACAUCUUUCACUGUUUCCACUGGUUUGAUGCAGCCAUGCAAACAGAUCAUCACCCGAAGUCUGCCCUCUCUGCUGCAGUCUUUGCCUACAAGAACGGCAUGGCAUUCCUGGUACAGGAAAUAUGCACAGGCCAUCCAGCCAGCUAUGCUUUCCUGACUGAUAGACAGAUCAUUGAAUUGCAUGUCAGCAAGUCAGAUCUUAGCUAUUAUGUCAGGAGGAUCACAGCUGCUGCCAUUGUUUCCAGAGUGCCACUGACAUCCUGAAGGGAGCAGUUGGGAUGGAUGAGAACCAGAUGCAUCUGUUCAAGAACACUAAAACCAUUGACCACAUCUCGGAGAACCAACAGAAGCACCUUGACUGCAUCCAGCAUCCACCAGGGAGGAACAGAGUAGCGUAGUGCAAAUCCGCAGGGCCCCCCCACCGCGAACCGCAAGACGGAGGCCCCCCUCCUGAUUCAGGGGGUGGGGGGGGUAGCGGGAGUGCGUCGCCUUCACAGUUUAAAAUGGAUAUAUUUCCAAUAUUGCAAGUUUUAAACCAUGAUGGCGAGCCACAGGAUAUCAUACAAGCAACGUGCAAACUUUGUGCAAGAGUUACGCCGGUGAACAUCUCUCAAAAUGAAAGUGAAAGUAAAAACUGACAGCGCUUUCUGCAUCUGACAACACACGCAUUAACGGCACAUUCUCUCAGAGACGACGAGAGACAAAUCUCCUACUUAAUAUGCAGUAUAUUACUGCUUUUAUUUCCUUAAUGUUUCUCUUGUGAGCCAAACAUAGUGAAAACAAGAAACUUUUUGAAAGUCGGUGCUUAAAAUAAAGCUGCUCU